rnacentral:rRNA from 1 species
UAGGGAAUCUUCGGCAAUGGACGAAAGUCUGACCGAGCAACGCCGCGUGAGUGAAGAAGGUUUUCGGAUCGUAAAACUCUGUUGUUAGAGAAGAACAAGGACGUUAGUAACUGAACGUCCCCUGACGGUAUCUAACCAGAAAGCCACGGCUAACUACGUGCCAGCAGCCGCGGUAAUACGUAGGUGGCAAGCGUUGUCCGGAUUUAUUGGGCGUAAAGCGAGCGCAGGCGGUUUCUUAAGUCUGAUGUGAAAGCCCCCGGCUCAACCGGGGAGGGUCAUUGGAAACUGGGAGACUUGAGUGCAGAAGAGGAGAGUGGAAUUCCAUGUGUAGCGGUGAAAUGCGUAGAUAUAUGGAGGAACACCAGUGGCGAAGGCGGCUCUCUUGUCUGUAACUGACGCUGAGGCUCGAAAGCGUGGGGAGCAAACAGG